UACGGAGGGUGCAAGCGUUAUCCGGAUUCACUGGGUUUAAAGGGUGCGUAGGUGGGCAGGUAAGUCAGUGGUGAAAUCUCUGGGCUUAACUCAGAAACUGCCAUUGAUACUAUCUGUCUUGAAUACCGUGGAGGUCAGCGGAAUAUGUCAUGUAGCGGUGAAAUGCUUAGAUAUGACAUAGAACACCAAUUGCGAAGGCAGCUGGCUACACGAAUAUUGACACUGAUGCACGAAAGCGUGGGGAGCGAACAGG
rnacentral:rRNA from 1 species